GUUUGGUUUAGCUGAUGCUUUCCAUUUUUCUGAUCAUGGAAGCUAAGCAGUCCUGGGCCUGGGAGGGGUUGGAUGGGAAACCAUCUGGGAAUCCCAGGUGCUGUAAGCA
rnacentral:rRNA from 1 species